UCUGUGCUAUAUAGCUAUAUUACGUACGUUUCUAUAUUACAUAAGAUUUUAUAUUGUACGAAUCCUGCAUAGACGUAAAAAUGAUUUAUUGCCAUAUAGUAGAUAGUAGACGUAUAGCAGAUAACGCAAAUCCGAGAUUAGAAAUGAAUGUGUCAAGGUGUCCGAAUUAAUUACGGUCGGCUUAGUAUUUUCUGUCGAUACGAAAUUAAUCCGAGAGGAUGGAAAAUGAAAAAAAAGGGUGAAUUAUAACGAGAUAUCAACCUUCGAUGCACGUUUUUAUAAUUAGGACAAGUGGGCUCCUCGCUCGAGUAAAGCAGUUUUACUUGGGAACACUGGGCGUAAUUGGAGAUCGAACGAUAAAGCUGAUAAAAGACACCGGUUAAACAGACUAUUUCCUCCGAUAUUGUCAGCCUGAUUUUCAGAAAGGUUGAUUUCAAAACGAUACAUCUAUUCCUUUCUAAUGGGAUCAAACAAGAAGGGAUGAA